AUUGAACGCUGGCGGCAUGCUUUACACAUGCAAGUCGAACGGUAACAGGCCGCAAGGUGCUGACGAGUGGCGAACGGGUGAGUAAUGCAUCGGAACGUGCCCAGUCGUGGGGGAUAACGCAGCGAAAGCUGCGCUAAUACCGCAUACGACCUAUGGAUGAAAGCGGGGGACCGAAAGGCCUCGCGCCAUUUGAGCGGCCGAUGUCAGAUUAGGUAGUUGGUGGGGUAAAGGCUCACCAAGCCAAAGAUCUGUACCUGGUCUGAGAGCACGACCAGCCACACUGGGACUGAGACACGGCCCCGACUCCUACGGGAGGCAGCAGUGGGGAAUGUUGGACAAUGGGCGCAAGCCUGAUCCAGAAAUGCCGAGUGCAGGAAGAAGGCCUUCGGGUUGUAAACUGCUUUUGUACGGAACGAAACGGUCCUGGUUAAUACCUGGGGCUAAUGACGGUACCGUAAGAAUAAGCACCGGCUAACUACGUGCCAGCCGCCGCCGUAACAC
rnacentral:rRNA from 1 species